CCCCCCUCCACUUCUUACGAACCAAAUGAGUAGUGGCAUUUAUCACUUGGACCAAGGGGUAGGACAGGCCUUUUGAUAAAGAGACGCCUUGAAAAGUUCAGUGCAGAGUGGCCUUCCUCACUUGGAGCAGACAGCAAUAUGGACUUUAUGAUGAGGACAUGCCUUGGGAAGUUCAAUGUAGAGUGGGCUUUAUCACUUAGAUU
rnacentral:lncRNA from 1 species